UGAUGAUGGCGAGGGAAAUUUCUGAGCAUACUUGUAAAUCUUUCCCAAGAUUGGUAGAGAUUUUCUCCUUCUUUCUAUUUAAAACUAAGAAUCUCGCUUCUCAAACG
rfam:Capsicum annuum cultivar Zunla-1 chromosome 1, whole genome shotgun sequence